UACGGAGGGUGCAAGCGUUAUCCGGAUUCACUGGGUUUAAAGGGUGCGUAGGUGGCUAUUUAAGUCAGUGGUGAAAGCCCGCGGCUCAACCGUGGAAUUGCCAUUGAAACUGAAUAGCUUGAGUACAGUUGAAGUGGGCGGAAUACAUCAUGUAGCGGUGAAAUGCUUAGAUAUGAUGUAGAACACCGAUUGCGAAGGCAGCUCACUAAGCUGUAACUGACACUGGAGGCACGAAAAGC
rnacentral:rRNA from 1 species